UCGAUAAAUUGUUAGCUGAUAGCAAAAGGCUAACCUCCAACACUGGCAAGCGUUGAAAUUCCAAAAACAAAAUUAAGUUUGUGAACAAAAGCAUUUAACUUUAAUAUGAGUUUACGGCCAUUUCAACUAGAAAACAACAGAAGAGAGAUGCUUUUCGUGGAGCAACCAGAGAUCAAAGGGGUGGCUCCCAAAUCUUCAAGUGCAUUAAUAAUUCCAGGAACUCAACAAUUCCAGGAACUCAACAACUGAAUUUAUAAAAUCGCACUUAUACUUUUCUAGACCCCAGAAUGUGACUUGUUACCUAAUGAAGGAGCCAAAAUCACUUCGCAUCGUUGAAGUCUUGAAAUAGUUAUUAAAAUGUUGAAAAAAAAUUAAUUCGCAAAAUGAAUUUUUCACUUGAUGGGACAACUUACUUUUCUGCAUCUUUAAUGGUCAGCUGCCAAAGUAAAAGCCUGGGAUUUUAGACUUACAAUAUUCCAUUCUGCCCAAGUCAAUUUGCAAUUAGAUCUUAUCCGGAGGCAGACGGACACUCAGGAUACGGGGAUUUAAGCCAGGUCCCGCAUAAAAAACUAAACACGCAGCAAUCAAUCGAUUAAAAAAGGGCAAAGGGCAAAAACUUUUGAGUCUGGAAAGGCGUUGUGAAAAAUAAAAAGGGGGAGGAGCUGGAGCAGGAGCAGGCGGAGGAUGAAAAGGAUGAUGGCCCACCUAUGGUGUCCAGGUUGAGGUCCUGCUGGAAGAACGCCCCAGGGACCCGCAGCCAACUGAAGGAAGUCGCCUCGCUGGCUUUUGUCUAAUGCGCCGCUUAUCUCGAUAUUAUUUGGCCAUAAAAAAAGGACACAGACACAUGUCAUUUGUUAUGUGGCCAGUUUAACUGAGGGAGUGGACAACACUCGGCGGAAAACCGUUGAACUUCUAAAUGAGUGUAAAAAGAGCAUGCAAAAUAUAGCAACACCGCAAGAAAGCCGACACCAUGAUGCCCUGCUCCCAAAAUCUUAAGGAUUCAGCACCCGUCCUUCGGCUGAAACCGAAUCCUUCGGCCAAAUCAAAACCAAUUCCACUCCGAAGGGCAAGGAAAAUUGCAACAUUUCACAUGUCACAACGAGGGCAAUUUCCCAACCCACAAGAAAUUGGACCAUGUCGAAUCCUGCGGGUUCCGUUGAUUUCCACCUCCACCCCCAAAAAUAAUCCAGUGUGCCAGCCACGCGCGUUUCAAAUCCCUUUAGUUACACUGUUUCGAAUUAAAUAUUUACAUUUUGGAUGCGGAUGCGGAUGCGGCGGGCAUGAGGCCUAAAUUUCGAUUCACAUGUGGGUGUUUUUUUUUGUUUUUUUUUUCGCUGGGAUGGUGGCAUCUGGAUACUAGAUAGUGGCCAUCUAAUCGGUGGUGGACACUUGUCGAUAGCAGGAGCGGUGUUUUCCCAAGGUUAAGGGGGAUUUAUAUUGUUCAGAUAUGUCCGUU